rnacentral:lncRNA from 10 species
GGUGGGAGCCCCAGAGGCAGACUGAGAAGCUAGGCUGGGGGAGGGGAGUCUAGGAAUGAGGAUGAAACCAUUGUUUUGUUACGCUCUUAUUUUGCACAGCUUUAUUUAUUCUUAAUUAGAGUCUUGGCAGAAAUGUGAAAAAAAUGGGGUGUUAUGAAUGAGUUAUGAGUACUUUAUUUAAGCUAGGGCUGCCUUAAAAUAAAUUACCACACACUGAGUGGCUGAAACAACAGAAAUUUAUUAUCUUGGUGUAGAGGCUAGAAGUCCACGUCAAGGCAUGGGCAGGUGUUUCCAGUGUGUUCCACGGAUAAACAGCCAUUUAAAAAAAUGUACGGUAUAGAAUCUGACUCUCCAAUAUCAUGGCCCUAAGUAGAUGUGGUGAGUGGGGUGAGUCAUCAACAAAAGUAAAAUAUCCUGAGAGAGGGUUUAGGGGAAGCCGAGCACAUGUUUCUAAAUGAAAGGAACAUUAAAAAAUCCAUCCUAUAGAGGCCUAUGGUGAUCUUUCUUGGUGCCCCAGCUUGAUCUAUCUGAGAGAUUAUGCACACGUUUAAAAUAUUCACUGACAGAGCAGGAGUAUCGCCAUCUUGGACAAGCACCACCAUUUAAAAGUUCACCUUGAUCAAAAAUCUCCUAAAUCCAAAGGGCAUCAGCCUAAUGGUGAAGGUCAGCAUGACCAUAAACCACAAAUGACAUCUCCGACCAGAAACAUUCCAACUAUAAGAUAAACCUCUCCCCGACCAGAGACAUGCCAGCCCCAAGAUAACCUCCCCUCUGACUGGAGAGAUGUCAGCCACGAGAUAACCUCACCUCCAACCAGAGGCAUUCCAACCCCGC